rnacentral:rRNA from 1 species
AUUGAACGCUGGCGGCAUGCCUUACACAUGCCAGUCGAACGGUAACAGGUUAAGCUGACGAGUGGCGAACGGGUGAGUAAUGUAUCGGAACGUGCCCAGUCGUGGGGGAUAACUGCUCGAAAGAGCAGCUAAUACCGCAUACGACCUGAGGGUGAAAGCGGGGGAUCGCAAGACCUCGCGCGAUUGGAGCGGCCGAUAUCAGAUUAGGUAGUUGGUGAGGUAAAGGCUCACCAAGCCGACGAUCUGUAGCUGGUCUGAGAGGACGACCAGCCACACUGGGACUGAGACACGGCCCAGACUCCUACGGGAGGCAGCAGUGGGGAAUCUUGGACAAUGGGCGCAAGCCUGAUCCAGCCAUGCCGCGUGCGGGAAGAAGGCCUUCGGGUUGUAAACCGCUUUUGUCAGGGAAGAAAAGGUUCUGGCUAAUACCUGGGACUCAUGACGGUACCUGAAGAAUAAGCACCGGCUAACUACGUG